UCCAGACUCCUACGGGAGGCAGCAGUGGGGGAUAUUGCACAAUGGGGGGAACCCUGAUGCAGCGACGCCGCGUGGGUGAAGGAGCGUUUCGGCGCGUAAAGCCCUAUCGGCAGGGAAGAAGGAGGACGGUACCUGACUAAGAAGCCCCGGCUAACUACGUGCCAGCAGCCGCGGUAAUACGUAGGGGGCAAGCGUUAUCCGGAUUUACUGGGUGUAAAGGGGGCGCAGACGGCGAUGCAAGCCAGGAGUGAAAGCCCGGGGCCCAACCCCGGGACUGCUCUUGGAACUGCGUGGCUGGAGUGCAGGAGGGGCAGGCGGAAUUCCUGGUGUAGCGGUGAAAUGCGUAGAUAUCAGGAGGAACACCGGCGGCGAAGGCGGCCUGCUGGACCGUGACUGACGUUGAGACUCGAGAGCGUGGGGAGCAAACAGGAUUAGAUACCCCAGUACCU
rnacentral:rRNA from 1 species